rnacentral:lncRNA from 1 species
UAUUUAUUUAUUUAUUUUUUGAGAUGGAGUUUCGCUCUUGUUGCCCAGGCUGGAGUGCAAUGGUGAGAUCUCUGCUCACUGCAACCUCCACCUCCCAGGUUCAAGGGAUUCUUGUGCCUCAGCCUCCUGAGUAGCUGAGAUUACAGGCACCCACCACCACGUCCGGCUAAGUUGUUGUUUUUUGUUUUUGUUCUUGUUUUUUUGAGAGAUGGAGUCUUGAUCUGUCACCCAGGCUGGAGUGGAGUGGCGGUAUCUCGGCUCACUGCAACCUCCACCUCCCGGGUUUGAGCGAUUCUCCUGCCUCAGCUUCCCAAGUAGCUGGGACCACAGACGUUUGCCACCACUCCCAGUUAAUUUUUGUAUUUUUUUAGUAGAGUUGGGGUUUCACUAUAUGUUGGCCAGCCUGGUCUCAAACUCCUGACCUCAGGUGAUCUGCCCACCUCGGCCUCCCAAAGUGUUGGGAUUAUAGGCGUGAGCCACCGUGCCUGGCCAAUUUUUUGUAUUUUUUUGUAGAGACGGGGUUUCACCAUGUUGGCCAGGCUGGUCUUGAAUUCCUGGCCUCAGGUUAUCCGCCUGCCUGAGCCUCCCAAAGUGCUGGAUUACAGGCAUGACCCACCAAACCCAGCCCAAAUAUAUUUGCAUAUAUAUAUAUUUUAAUAUCCCACGCCUACACUCUGGGAUAACUCAGCUCUUACAGGCAGUAAUCAUGGGUCAGACCUGCCAUUAUCCAGUUCAGCCCAUUUCAUUUGACAGACACCUGGUGAAUAGAGACAUGCAGGGACUCUUGUCCACAUUUGCCCAGUUGGCUGAUAGCACAGUGUACAAAGUCUGUCUGCAGCAGGUCAUAAUUUCACAGCUCUGCCACAUGCAUGUAUAUCACUGUACCAAGCGUGUUCACAUGGUAUGGUGCUGACACAUGUUGACGGAAUGUGGUACAGACCCUCUGUGUGAAGUGUGUUCACACAGUGCGGUGCUGACCCUCUGUAUGAAGCGUGUUCACACGGUGCGGUGCUGACUCUCUGUAUGAAGCGUGUUCACCUGGUGCAGGACAGACUCUCUGCAUGAAGCAUGUUCACACAGUGCGGUGCUGACCCUCUGUAUGAAGCAUGUUCACACAGUGCGGUGCUGACCCUCUGUAUGAAGCGUGUUCACACAGUGCAUGUGAAACCAGAACCGACAGUCGAACCCAAGCAGAAGUCUUGACCAAGCACUUCCCUCCUGGGAAUGCACCAUGAUAUCACCACACCGAAGUCCAGGCUGGCAAAUAGGGACAUUUAAGUGACAUUUAAGCUCGUGGUGGCCCUAUGAGGAGUCAUUGCUGACUGAGAUGGGAUUUUAAGGUGUUGCCUGCCUGUGUGUUCUCAGACCCUCUCCUGAAGCCCC